rnacentral:rRNA from 1 species
AUACCGUGAAACUGCGAAUGGCUCAUUAAAUCAGUUAUCGUUUAUUUGAUAGUACCUUACUACUUGGAUAACCGUGGUAAUUCUAGAGCUAAUACAUGCUGAAAACCCCAACUUCGGGAGGGGUGUAUUUAUUAGAUAAAAAACCAACGCCCUUCGGGGCUUCUUGGUGAUUCAUGAUAACUUAACGGAUCGCAUGGCCUUGCGCCGGCGACGGUUCAUUCAAAUUUCUGCCCUAUCAACUUUCGAUGGUAAGGUAUUGGCUUACCAUGGUUUCAACGGGUAACGGGGAAUUAGGGUUCGAUUCCGGAGAGGGAGCCUGAGAAACGGCUACCACAUCCAAGGAAGGCAGCAGGCGCGCAAAUUACCCAAUCCCGACACGGGGAGGUAGUGACAAUAAAUACUGAUACAGGGCUCUUUUGGGUCUUGUAAUUGGAAUGAGUACAAUUUAAACCUCUUAACGAGGAACAAUUGGAGGGCAAGUCUGGUGCCAGCAGCCGCGGUAAUUCCAGCUCCAAUAGCGUAUAUUAAAGUUGUUGCAGUUAAAAAGCUCGUAGUUGAACCUUGGGUCUGGCUGGCAGGUCCGCCUCACCGCGUGUACUUGUCCGGCCGGGCCUUCCUUCUGGAGAACCUCAUGCCCUUCACUGGGCGUGUUGGGGACCAGGACUUUUACUUUGAAAAAAUUAGAGUGUUCAAAGCAGGCCUUUGCUCGAAUACGUUAGCAUGGAAUAAUGAAAUAGGACGUGCGGUCCUAUUUUGUUGGUUUCUAGGACCGCCGUAAUGAUUAAUAGGGACAGUCGGGGGCAUCAGUAUUCAAUUGUCAGAGGUGAAAUUCUUGGAUUUAUUGAAGACUAACUACUGCGAAAGCAUUUGCCAAGGAUGUUUUCAUUAAUCAGUGAACGAAAGUUAGGGGAUCGAAGACGAUCAGAUACCGUCGUAGUCUUAACCG